CAGCAGCCACGGUAAGACAGAGGAUGCAAGCGUUAUCCGGAAUGAUUGGGCGUAAAGCGUCUGUAGGUGGCUUUUCAAGUCCGCCGUCAAAUCCCAGGGCUCAACCCUAGACAGGCGGUGGAAACUACCAAGCUGGAGUACGGUAGAGGCAGAGGGAAUUUCCAGUGGAGCGGUGAAAUGCGUUGAGAUCGAAAAGAACACCAACAGCGAAAGCACUCUGCUGGGACGACACUGACACUAAGAGACGUAAGCUAGGGGAGCAAAUGGGAUUAGAUACCCGUGUAGUCCCUGUCUCUUAUAC
rnacentral:rRNA from 1 species